rnacentral:ncRNA from 2 species
CUAUAGUCAAUCCGCACCUGCAAAUUCAGGUGUCGGGUUUGAGACCCCGGUUA